rnacentral:lncRNA from 10 species
AAGUCUCCGAAGGGUGCUGUCCCUGUCAAUGAAAUAAGAAGCGGCUAGCUGAUGUAGCGUCUCCAGAGUGACCGAAGAGCUAUUGGUGGUGGAAUCACUUCCUUCAGCUCGUUUGCUCAACUUCCGCUUGUCCACAAAAAUUGUUAGUUUUGGGUUGCUGAGAGCAUAAAUGUGAAAAUAGGCAGGAGUUACAGAAUUACAGAGUUCCUCUACAUUAAGAAUAACUUUCAGGCCCAUUUGCUUUUUACAUCCUACUGGUGUUUAACCUGGAGUCUUUUGCUAUUUUACGAAGAGUAUUGAAACAUGUCUCUCUGGAGUCAAAUAUUUCAUUUCAGACACCUCCCUUUAUGAUGUCAAUCUAAGGGCUGAGCUAAGGGAAAUAAAUGUGAUUAUUGUUAUGAGGGCAUACAGUGAGAUGGCAGCAGCCUGUAAGCCAGAAACAGAAGCAUCACCAGAAACUGACCAUGCUGGUACCCUAAUCUCAGACUUCCAGAUUUCUGAAGAACUUCAAAGAAACAAAAGUCUAUUGUUUAAGCCACCUAGUCUGUCACAUUUUGUUAUGGCAAUGUGAGCUAACUAAUACACUACCUUUAAAAUAUAAA